rnacentral:rRNA from 1 species
UAAAUUUUAUUUAUUAAUUUUAUUUAUUUAAGUAUUAUAUUUAAUAAAAAUAAUUUUAAUUCAAUAUAGUUUUAGUAUUUUUUAAAGAAAUAAUAAUUUUAAUAAUAGUUUAUUUGUAUUGUAAAAGAAGAUUGAAAUAAUUUGAAAAAUUUUUAUUUUAAAAGAAAAUUUAAUUUAUUGUACCUUGUGUAUCAGGGUUUAUUAAUUAAUUAAUUAUUAUAGUAAUUUUUCUCGAAUUUUAAAGAUUUAAUUAUAUAUAAAAGUUAUUGUGGAAUAAUUAUUUUUAAUAUAUAAUUAGAAAUGAAAUGUUAAUCGUUUUAAAAUAUAUCUAGUUUUUUAAGAAAUAAAUUUAAUUUAGAUUUAUAAAUUAAAAGUAUUAUUUAUUUAAUAUUUUUAAUUUAUAAAAUUAAUAUUUUAAGGGAUUAGCUUUAAAAUAAAUUUUUAAAUUUUAAAAAAGUAUUUAAUAAAUGUAAGCUUAAAAAUAGUUAUCAUUAAUAAAUUUGUUAUAAUUUAUUUUAAAUUUUUUAUUAUUUAUUAUAAAAUUAAAUUAUUUAUUAAAAUAUAAAUUUUAAUAUUAAUGAUUUAUAAAUUAUGGUAAAAUUAGUAUAUUUAAUUUAUAUAAAUUAUUUAAAUUGAAAGGUUUAAAUAAGGAAUUCGGCAAAUUAUAUAUUCACCUGUUUAUCAAAAACAUGUCUUUUUGUAUUUAAUUUAAAGUCUAACCUGCCCACUGAUAGAUAUUAAAGGGCCGCAGUAUUUUGACUGUGCGAAGGUAGCAUAAUCAGUAGUCUUUUAAUUGAAGGCUUGUAUGAAUGGUUGAAUGAGAUAUAUACUGUCUUUUUUAAAUUUUUAUAGAAUUUUAUUUUUUAAUUAAAAAGUUAAAAUAUAAUUAAAAGACGAGAAGACCCUAUAGAUCUUUAUUUUUUUUAAUUAUAAGUUAAAAAGAAUAAUUAAAUUUAUAGUUUUAUAAAAAAUUUUACUGGGGUGGUAUUAAAAUUUAAUUAACUUUUAUUAUUUGUUUACAUUAAUAUAUGUAUAUUUGAUCCAAUUUUAUUGAUUAAAAAAUUAAGUUACCUUAGGGAUAACAGCGUAAUUUUUUUUUAGAGUUCUUAUCGACAAAAAAGAUUGCGACCUCGAUGUUGGAUUAAGAAUUAUUUUUAGGUGUAGAAGUUUAAAGUUUAGGUCUGUUCGACCUUUGAAUUCUUACAUGAUCUGAGUUCAAACCGGCGUAAGCCAGGUUGGUUUCUAUCUUUAAUAAAUUAUUAUAUUAUAGUACGAAAGGACCUAAUAUAAAAAAUAUAAAUUUUAAAUUUAUGAAUUAUAUUAAUAUUUAAUAA